rnacentral:piRNA from 1 species
UGCGACUCACUGUAGUGCUGGGGAUCC